rnacentral:rRNA from 1 species
UACUGCGGAAGGAUCAUUAACCUUUCAAAUCAGGGUGCGGCGCGGCCCCCGAGGAGCGGAAACAAUCCUUGGGAGGUAUGCGGGGGCUUCGAGCCCCCCAUUUACGCACGCACGACUGCCAUCCUUACUUUACGAGCACCUUCUGUUCUCCCUCGGCGGGGCAACCUGCCGUUGGAACCGAAUAAACUCUUUUUGCAUCUAGCAUUACCUGUUCCGAAACAAACAAUCGUUACAACUUUCAACAAUGGAUCUCUUGGCUCUGGCAUCGAUGAAGAACGCAGCGAAAUGCGAUAAGUAGUGUGAAUUGCAGAAUUCAGUGAAUCAUCGAAUCUUUGAACGCACAUUGCGCCCCUCGGUAUUCCGUGGGGCAUGCCUGUUCGAGCGUCAUCUACACCCUCAAGCUCUGCUUGGUGUUGGGCGUCUGUCCCGCCUCCGCGCGUGGACUCGCCCCAAAUUCAUUGGCAGCGGUCCUUGCCUCCUCUCGCGCAGCACAUUGCGCUUCUCGAGGGGCUACGGCUCGCGUCCAACAAGCACAUUUACCGUCUUUGACCUCGGAUCAGGUAGGGAUACCCGCUGAACUUAAGCAUAUCAUAACCCGGAAGG